UACGGAGGGAGCUAGCGUUGUUCGGAAUUACUGGGCGUAAAGCGCACGUAGGCGGACUGAUUAGUCAGAGGUGAAAUCCCAGGGCUCAACCCUGGAACUGCCUUUGAUACUGUCAAUCUAGAGACCGAGAGAGGUGAGUGGAAUUUCCAGUGUAGAGGUGAAAUUCGUAGAUAUUGGAAAGAACACCAGUGGCGAAGGCGGCUCACUGGCUCGGUACUGACGCUGAGGUGCGAAAGCGUGGGGAGCAAACAGG
rnacentral:rRNA from 1 species